ensembl:snRNA U6 U6 spliceosomal RNA
UUGCUUUGGUGGCAUACAUACUAAAAUUGGAACAAUAUGGAGAAGGUUAACAUGAUCCUUGAGCAAGGAUGACACACAAUUUGUGACACGUGCCAUAUUUCU